ACACUUUCUCUAGUUCAGAGGUGGGCAAACUUUUUGGCCCAAGGGCCAUAUCGGGGUUACACAACUGUAUGGACAGCCAGGUAGGGAAGGCCAUGCCUCCUCAAACAGCCUGGCGCCUGGCCCCUGCCCCCUCCCACUUCCCACCCCCUGACUGCCCCCCUCAGAACUCCCAA